rnacentral:lncRNA from 10 species
UGCAUUUCCUCUACAUUUAUUGCAACGGCUAAAUGAUUAACAACAUUCACAACUUCUUAGAUCUUAAAAAACAGAAACAAAAGAAAACUUCCAUUUUGUAACAUCACAAAUGUCUUCUAGGCUUUAUCAAGGACCAAAAACACUACAAUUCUCUAAGUGAUUUCCAGUGAUGGAAACAAGCCAGAGACAGUAAAGCACCCAGAGUGGCGAGAGAGCACUUCCAGAUGCCUGUUGUCCUCUCGGGGGUGACCCUGGAACUAGAACGACAGAAAAGACACUGUGACUUUGACACGGCUGUGCCACCACACAUCACGCGCGACACGAGGAUCCUGCAGAGCGGCCUCUGCAGAGAGCAAGGACAGCCUCGGUUAAGAGGGAGGGGCUGGGGGCACGGAGGGCCAGUGGCAUCUCCUCUAUCCCGGCUGGCCGGCAGCUGGCAGCACGCACCAUGCUCUGCUGGCUCCCGACACCUUCACUGCCCCAGCGCUGAAUCCACAGGAGAGGUGUCCUCUGAGAGUGUAGGGGGCUUUCUAGGUUCAAGGAGAUGUGCCCUUUGACCCCUGCCAAGGACUCACAGAACCAUCUCAGCUCAAACUUGGAGGAGCGGCAGGAGGUGGGGGGCGGUCAGUGGCCACACGCCACAGAUUCCUAAAGCAUUUAACUUUUUAAUAAAAUGAAGUGGAGAAAGUCAAGAAUGAACAUGCUAGGACAAAGCACAUGGAAUGGUCAGGGCGAUGCUGGAGAGAGUGCGCUUGAUCCACGCUGCAGGUGUGUGCGCCUCGCUCGGGUCAAUGGGCUGAGCCCCGCUUGGAGCUCCAUCCAUUCACCUGACCCAUGGCCAACAUGGAAGCUGUCGGAGGGGUCAGGAAAGGAGAAGGAGAAAGGAGAAGAUGAACCCCCCGCACCUGUGACUCCCCAAAACCAGCUCCACUCCAGGCCCCCACAGGCUGGUUCGUUCGAGGGUUGGGUUAUAAACCCAAACUCCAUCCUCCAUGCUGGCACCUCUACUGCCAUAAAGAUCUGCCAGUUGCCAAAGCUACAGAAGCCACUGGAAGCAAGCAGAGCCCCUGGGGGUGGUGGCACUGCAAGGUGACAGGGACCAGGCAGACAAGGAGCUGGGACCACAGCCUAGGAAGUCUGUGGCUUAAAGAAAGCCAGGAUUUCCUUUUUUUUUUUUGAGACAGAGUCUCGCUCUGUUGCCAGGCUGGAGUGCGGUGGCACAAUCUCGGCUCACUGCAACCUCCGCCUCCCGGGUUCAAGUGAUUCUCCUGCCUCAGCCUCCUGAGUAGCUGGGACUACAAGCGCCCGCCACCACGCCCAGCUAAUUUUUUGCAUUUUUAGUAGAGACAGGGUUUCACCAUGUUGGCCAGGAUGGUCUCGAUCUCUUGACCUCGUGAUCCAUCCGCCUCAACCUCCUAAAGUGCUGGGAUUACAGGCUUGAGCCACUGUGCCUGGCCCAAAGCCAGGAUUUCUUUACAGCCAAUACAAGUGGCAUUUCCCGCUCAGUUCUGUGGCUGAUGCCCUAGCCACUGCUGUGUCCCCUAAUCCUGGGGUGUCAGAGGGAUCCUAAGUUUUCCAGAUUUUUGCCCAUACUUAAAACUUCAACGAUCCUGCUUCACAAGGAAGGAUGAGUGGAGAAUUGAGUGGAGUUACACGCAGCAGAGUGCUGGGGAAUCUGGAGAGCGGGGGCGAUCACAUGCCUGGAAAUAGAGCAGCUGCAGAGCCCACCCCAGGAGGAGCCUGCCUCUCCUUACAAAGGCUGUAAUAAGACAGCACUUGACGAUGCCAUACGUGCGAAAAGUGCAGAGUCUCAGAGGGUUUACAACCCCCAUCCCUUUGUAACUGUAGUUUGCUUACACUGUGGAUUCUAAAGAGACAUGUAAAUCUGGGGCCGAUUUCAUCUGUUUAAUGAUUACUCCCCACCCGAUAGAGCUAUUCUAUACUGUUGCUAAAAUUUCAUUAAGUCUCUCAAGAUGCAUUGAUGAGAUGAGACACCAUGAAUAACACAUUCAUCAACUCAAGUAUGGCAACUGUUCAGAGAGCUUCAGAGCUUUGGUACCCGAGUGCAGACUUGGUAAUUACCGGGAAUUUGUCUCCCCCGUAUAAAUUCUGGCGAACAACGAGAAAACACCAUCUGUGAUCGUUUCCACAUCACGUUUGCUAACAGAGCACUUCUGGAGAGCAAUGGCCAGUCCAACUGGAAAAUCAGCCAGAGGAGCUGGUUCCUCAGCACUCACAGGCUGAGGUGCCUUUCGGGGGCAGCGCCACCUUCUGAAGGGGAACCAAGACAGAUUUGGAGGGGACUUGCUGCUAAAAGCAUGUGAACAGAGAGGAGAGGCAAAAGCACAUUGAAAAUGGUGCAUGUUUUUUUCUUUGAGAGAAAGAAAAGCCAGCGAAACCUCCGCCCCAGAGACUG